AGUGCUGAUGAAGUUGAAAAAUUCAAGUACAUUCUUCAAAAUAGCAUUUUUUCUCUGGCACUAUAAUUUUAGUUUGGAGUGCAGCAGUAACUGAAUCCCUGGGACUGAUUUGAUACAGAGGGAUCAGCAAGAAGAAAAUCAAGCUCUUGCAUAACAAGGGCAGUUUUUACUCCAUUUUCAUUUUGCUAUGAGGUCAUUGUGAACUGUAAAGAAUUACUGUGUGUGGAGUGGAUUAUUUCCCUGGAAGAGUCUGUACAGAGUUUUCUGAGGGGCAACAAAAGAAGACAAGCCAAAGUGCUCAUGGAUAGCUUCCAAAAACCAUAGCCAGAAGAGGAUCUCUGAUGGAA
rnacentral:lncRNA from 1 species